rnacentral:rRNA from 1 species
UACAGAGGUGGCAAGCGUUGUUCGGAUUUACUGGGCGUAAAGGGUCCGUAGGCGGACCGGAAAGUUGAAUGUGAAAUCCCACAGCUUAACUGUGGAACUGCAUUCAAAACUUCCGGACUAGAGUGUGAGAGGGGUUAAGGGAAUUCCCGGUGUAAGGGUGAAAUCUGCAGAGAUCGGGAGGAACACCAGUCGCGAAGGCGCUUAACUGGCUCACUACUGACGCUCAGGGACGAAAGCUAGGGUAGCAAACGGG